CAGCAGCCGCGGUAAUACGAAGGGUGCAAGCGUUACUCGGAAUUACUGGGCGUAAAGCGUGCGUAGGUGGUUGUUUAAGUCUGCUGUGAAAGCCCUGGGCUCAACCUGGGAAUUGCAGUGGAUACUGGGCGACUAGAGUAAGGUAGAGGAUAGUGGAAUUUCCGGUGUAGCAGUGAAAUGCGUAGAGAUCGGAAGGAACAUCUGUGGCGAAGGCGACUAUCUGGGCCAACACUGACACUGAGGCACGAAAGCGUGGGGAGCAAACAGGAUUAGAUACCCCAGUAGUCCCUGUCUCUUAUAC
rnacentral:rRNA from 1 species